GUUUAAAGCUCUUUCAGUAGGGAGGAAAGGUGAUGUGUUAAUAGCACAUUGUUGUGACGUUACCUACAGAAGAAGGACCGGCUAACUCCGUGCCAGCAGCCGCGGUAAUACGGAGGGUCCGAGCGUUAAUCGGAAUUACUGGGCGUAAAGCGUGCGCAGGCGGUUUGUUAAGCCAGAUGUGAAAUCCCCGGGCUCAACCUGGGAAUUGCAUUUGGAACUGGCGAUCUAGAGUCUGUAGAGGGGGGUAGAAUUCCAGGUGUAGCGGUGAAUUGCUAGAUAUCUGGAGGAAUACCGGUGGCGAAGGCGACCCCCUGGGCAAAGACUGACGCUCAUGCACGAAAGG
rnacentral:rRNA from 1 species